rnacentral:rRNA from 1 species
AUUGAACGCUGGCGGCAUGCUUUACACAUGCAAGUCGAACGGCAGCGCGGGCUUCGGCCUGGCGGCGAGUGGCGAACGGGUGAGUAAUACAUCGGAACGUGCCCAGUAGUGGGGGAUAGCUCGGCGAAAGCCGGAUUAAUACCGCAUACGACCUGAGGGUGAAAGCGGGGGAUCUUCGGACCUCGCGCUAUUGGAGCGGCCGAUGGCAGGUUAGCUAGUUGGUGGGGUAAAGGCCUACCAAGGCGACGAUCUGUAGCUGGUCUGAGAGGACGACCAGCCACUCUGGGACUGAGACACGGCCCAGACUCCUACGGGAGGCAGCAGUGGGGAAUUUUGGACAAUGGGCGAAAGCCUGAUCCAGCAAUGCCGCGUGUGUGAUGAAGGCCUUCGGGUUGUAAAGCACUUUUGGCGGGAACGAAAAGGACUGUGCCAAUACCACGGUUCGAUGACAGUACCCGCAGAAUAAGCACCGGCUAACUACGUG